GAUAUAGGUCUGACAAAAGUUCUAUCUUUAUCCUCCAAACAAACGUUUGAAAUUAUGAUGAUUAUAGAAAAAUCGAACCCAACAUUAUUUAUGGUGUACAUAAAAACUUCAUCUCUUUUUUUUUAUCUUUCUUAAAUCUCUUAUUCCUCUAUAGAUAGUCAUCUCUUUUAUUUAUGGUGUCUUCCUCCCAUCCUGAAAAGAUAUUGACAUAACAACAAUCCCAGAGAAAAAAAUUGAGUCUUUCUAGUGAAGAAAAAGAAAAAAAUUUAAAAACUUUACAUCUGGGUUCACUGAUUUUAAGAUUAGAUCUUCAGCUUUUUCCUGCAAUGGUGAUGGCAGCAGGGGAAUUGAAGUUUUAUGUGUUAGUUGUUGAUGGUAUUGCAGCAGCGUAAUUGUAAGAAUGUUAGAAAGAUCUAAGCUUUUAUGUUUUUUUUUGUGUUUCUGGGUUUAAGAUAAGGUAUUGAGAAUAACGAUCCAAUCGUUGUAUGUACUCCAUUGUAUGUAAAAUCGCUGGGUUUCCGAUUUGUGUCAGCUAUAUGUACUCCAUUGUAUGUAAAAUCAGAAUGAAAAUCGAAUUUCCAGAAAGUGGGAUUACGUAUUGC
rnacentral:lncRNA from 1 species